ensembl:lncRNA
AUACUGGUUUAUAAUGGCUUGUACACUCCAUACUGUUAUAAAGUGGUUGUAAUGGUUUAUAAUAGUUUGUACUGGUUUACACUCCAUGGUGUAUACAUAUAUUAAUGUAUUCUUGAUUAAAUACCACACUGCUAAUCCAGAGGCCACUUGAGAUUCCUACAGCAGUUCAGAGUGAGAGCAGCUGAUCUUACGGUGUGUUUCAUCUGAAGGACCUUCUCUGGGUCUCCCUGGACGCCGGGGGUCCGUAGUAACUGCCGUCGCUAAGGUAACAUCUGUCUUUCCGGGGCCUUCUGAAGUCAAGGUAGUUUCAGUCAGAGGUGAAAGUCAGCGUUUGUGGGUUAUUAAUAGACUUCAUGUCCCAGGUGAUAGACAGUGGGGUUAGUGAUAGACAACAAGCUGAUGUGUAGGGGUUGUAGUUCUUCAUUACCUGCUGGGACCUCCACCUCCUGCAGACCGCUCUCAUGCUCAACUCUACAGAUGUAUUGAUCUGUGAGGGUUUCUCCCUGAUCAAUAACCAGGAUGCUGGCAGCGUAUGUCGGUCCUCUGGGCUCCAGCUGCUCCCCGUCCUUCCCCCCCCCUCUGCCCCCCCUUCUCCUCCUCCAGGACACCCGGACCUCCUCAGGGACCAUGUCUCUGGCUACACACAGCAGGGAG